GGGGGAAAGGAAGCGGUGGCUCACUACGCGUGCGCAGAGACGAUAGCGCGCUAGUGCGCAUGUCUCGGAGGCCACAGGGGGAGGGGAGAGGCGGCAGAGUGUUAAUGCGCAAGCGUCGGCAGGGAAAGGGCGCAUGCGCAGUUAACUCGCGGCGGUCGGCGUGUUGAGUCUGCCGACGCGCACGCGCUGGCCGGCUGGGGUAGCCCAUGGCAGCUUCGUGAGAGGCCCGCUGCUGGACGGAGGGGGAAUCUCAGUGCGCAUGUGCAGGGGGAGGAAAGGCGCCGCCUCCCCCAGGGCUUGACCCACUUUCCCUAGCCGCAUGGCCCCGCCCCCGAGGCCUGACAGCCUGGUGCUGCGCGUGGACUGCCGCCCUCCCAAGCUAAGCAGGGCCGGGCUGGGUCAGCCCUGGGAUGGGAGACGACAGCUGGCGCCCUCCUAACCCAGACCAAAGGUUCCGGCCAUGCUGCUCAGCGGGAAAGGCCUGCACAGGACCCCACCCAGCAAGAGCCGCCUCCAGCAGAAGUUACAAGCCUUGCGUGCAGCGGGAAGUCGGUUCUUGCCGCUGAAGAGGCUGGGAUGGGAAACCCUCCGGCUACGUCUAUACAGGGCACCUUACAGCAUGCAGCGCAGCUGCCCGUUGUCGGUCGGAGAGAACGCGCCUGGCAACAAAAUAAAACCACAGACGCCAGCACCGUUUGUUGAUCAGGGGUGGUUUUUUCCACACCUCCCCCGACCGACAAAAGUUUUACCGACCAGCGUAGAGGUAGCCGAAGACUAGCGGAGAAGUUACGCACAGGACCAGUGAUUUUUGCAUGGCAAGCAAUGAGAGUCUCUGAGAAGCAGGUGCCCUGUAAGAACACGAAGGUACUUUAUAAAUGACUCCUGCUGCCCCCUGCGCUAUCGCUGGGAGUGAAAGUGCAGUAUCCGUGGAUUGAGAGGAAUAAAUGGGAACUAACAAGGGCCUCGCACAUUAGGAGCCAGAGUCUGCUCUGAAGUUAUUAUUACAAUGCCCUGUUUAUGGACACAGAGAUGUAUGUAUAGACACAGAGAGAGACCUACAGCCAGACACGCACAGAGAGACCUCCGGAUGGACAUGCACCUGCAGACAAGUGCAGGUUCACUGUAGCCACAGGUUCAUCAAUACCCUUGUGGGGAGAACUGAAAACGGAGUAACCGCACUGCCGCAUUGUUUCCUGGCUCCCAUACAUUCUAGGCCGCUGUAAUUCCUACCCUCGGGGCUGGAAAAUGCCUUCUGCUGAUCAAUUGCAUGCUCAAGCUUUGGUUGCAGGCCUCUGUGCAGCAAUUUCGAGCUGACCUCCAAGCCAUGCAGUAGUUUGAUUGUCACCCCCCACUGCCUGCAGAAUGGAAGCUGACAUACAGCUGUGAACCCGUCUUAACGUCACUCUCUCCUGCACUCCUACAAGCAGCAGCUGGGGAAUUUUUUCCCAGGCACAGCGUAGUGGCAGGGGACACAUACAGCAACAUCAGUGCUUUCUCAGCAGGCAACUCUGUGCCGAUGUGGAUGCACCCUGGCAUCGUUAAUUAUACAGUAAAUACAAUUAAACCUCAGUAGCAUUAAACUCACCAGCUCCACAGCAACUUGACUGGCCAGCCACCUUCCCCCUUCAUCAUCUAGGAAGCAGACUCUCAGCCUUCUCCAGAGACCCUCUCAAACGGGUCUUUUGCGGCAUGCAGGGCUUAAUUUGUGCCAGGGCUAAGCCCGGCACCUCUACGGUUGGCGCCUCAAUUUAUGAAACUAAAAGCUGCUUGAGACCCAGCACGUCUUUCAUUACAAUUUAAGCCCUGGAGCCAUGUCCCAAAGUCAGACCAAGGGGGUGUACGGGGAACAAUUUUCAGAGUGCUGGAGCCCUCAGAGAGCAUCUUGCUAGCCACCCCAGGUCAAGCAUGCUUGCUGACCACAGCUGUGGCAGCAUGGCCUGGGGAGGGAGGCAGGCAAAUGCAGCCCUCUUCACCCUCUUGUUCCAUGCCAAGAACCCAGCUGCCCGUUUGAUUGCUGCUGAUCUCAGCUCAUGCAAUAGUGUCAGCUGCAGGAAUUAUUAUUAGUGCUGGGGUAGCAUCCAGAGGCCCCAGCUGAGAUCAGGACCCCAUUGUGGCAGAUGCAGAGACAGUCCCUGUCCCGGACUGCUCCCAGCCUAGCCAAGAUGGACAAUGGGUGGGAGGGGAAACAGAAGAAAUGAUUUGCCCAGAAGCUCAGCGGCAGAGCAAGGACUAGAACUCACAGCUCCUGACUUCCAGGCCAGUGCCUGUUCGAUUAGACCCCAUUGCUUCUCAUUCUCGGUCGGGUGUUACUCUCUUUGUAAAGCUCCAUGCGCAUC